CCUACGGGUGGCAGCAGUGGGGAAUAUUGCACAAUGGGGGAAACCCUGAUGCAGCGACGCCGCGUGAGUGAAGAAGUAAUUCGUUAUGUAAAGCUCUAUCAGCAGGGAAGAAAAUGACGGUACCUGAGUAAGAAGCCCCGGCUAACUACGUGCCAGCAACCGCGGUAAUACGUAGGGGGCAAGCGGUUUCCGGAUUUACUGGGUGGAAAGGGAGCGUAGACGGGAGUGCAAGUCUGGCGUGAAAGGCGGGGGCUCAACCCCCGGACUGCACUGGAAACUGUACGGCUGGAGUGCAGGAGAGGUAAGUGGAAUUCCUAGUGUAGCGGUGAAAUGCGUAGAUAUUAGGAGGAACACCAGUGGCGAAGGCGGCUUACUGGACUGUAACUGACGUUGAGGCUCGAAAGCGUGGGGAGCAAACAGGAUUAGAUACCCUUGUAGUC
rnacentral:rRNA from 1 species